rnacentral:rRNA from 1 species
GUGCCAUUGAUACUGCGAGUCUUGAGUAUGGUUGAGGUAGGCGGAAUGUGCAGUGUAGCGGUGAAAUGCAUAGAGAUUGCACAGAACACCGAUUGCGGAGGCAGCUUACUAAGCCAAUACUGACGCUGAGGCACGAAAGCGUGGGGAGCGAACAGGAUUAGAUACCCUGGUAGUCCACGCCGUAAACGAUGUUCACUCGCUGUUUGCGAUAUACAGUAAGCGGCUUAGCGAAAGCAUUAAGUGAACCACCUGGGGAGUACGAUCGCAAGGUUGAAACUCAAAGGAAUUGACGGGGGCCCGCACAAGCGGAGGAACAUGUGGUUUAAUUCGAUGAUACGCGAGGAACCUUACCUGGGCUUAAAUGUAGGCUGCAUUUCCGGGAAACCG